GGGAAAGUUUGUUUAUGUUUUGAAGGGCAGAUCCACACACACACACACAGACAGAGAGAGAGAGAGAGAGAGAGAGAGAGAGGCGGCCGGCUGUUUUUGAGACAGUAGGCUACACGAAGCAGGAAUCCGAGGAAAUGUGGUGAUACAACAAGUGCAGUUGUGCUGGAUCAGCUGGUUUAUUCUCCGUUUACAUGCGGGUUUACUUUAUGGCAGCCACAACAUGUUUCCUCCGAUCCUAGGACCUCAGCUUUCAAGAAAGUCACGGCACCCAUUCACUGCAGAGGAUCCAUUGGCGAGUAAGUGAUGUGCUGCUAAAUUUCUCCAAAUCUCUUCAGAUGAAGAAACAAACUAAUCUUCUUCUUGGAUGGCCUGAGG